rnacentral:rRNA from 1 species
GUGGGGAAUAUUGGACAAUGGGCGAAAGCCUGAUCCAGCCAUGCCGCGUGUGUGAAGAAGGUCUUCGGAUUGUAAAGCACUUUAAGUUGGGAGGAAGGGCAGUAAGUUAAUACCUUGCUGUUUUGACGUUACCGACAGAAUAAGCACCGGCUAACUUCGUGCCAGCAGCCGCGGUAAUACGAAGGGUGCAAGCGUUAAUCGGAAUUACUGGGCGUAAAGCGCGCGUAGGUGGUUCGUUAAGUUGGAUGUGAAAGCCCCGGGCUCAACCUGGGAACUGCAUCCAAAACUACUGAGCUAGAGUACGGUAGAGGGUAGUGGAAUUUCCUGUGUAGCGGUGAAAUGCGUAGAUAUAGGAAGGAACACCAGUGGCGAAGGCGACUACCUGGACUGAUACUGACACUGAGGUGCGAAAGCGUGGGGAGCAAACAGGAUUAGAAACCCCAGUAGUCC